rnacentral:lncRNA from 1 species
UGUCGAUAUUAUGCAAUAAGCAUAUGUCUAUAUAGUGAUAUUAUGCAAUAAACAAUGCAGAAUAUAUUUUUAUAAUUUAUCUUUUUUUGACUUGCAGAGAAGAGCAAAUAAAAAAAUGUUGUAAAAGCAACAAGCCUGAUUUCAGCAGCUCAGAAGCUGUUCAGUGGUGGCUCUCUGGUGAUCAUAAUCUAUGCUUCUUUGCUGCAGCUCUGUAACUCCUGAAUGGGCAACGCGCUGUUUAACCUGAGGUACCUUGGAAGUUGAUCCUGCUUUAUGCACAAGUAGAACAAGAUGACCUCCAGCAUGCUGUUCCAACCUACGUUAGUCUGUGACUAAUAAGGAUUCCCAGCCGUGCAAGGUUACUGCAGACAUGAACCAGAGGUAUGGGUUCUGCAGGCUUUUUCACACCUUAUCUGUACUCAAGGUGAAUGAAAAAGAAGGCAAGAAGGUCAGCGUUGAAUGCAUGCUGUCUUCAUGUAGAACACUUUUCAGUAUCAUUCACAAAAAUAAAAUCAUGUAU